GAUCGGAGUGCUUGCACUCUGUGAAACAAGAUACAGGCUAGCGGCGGACGGGUGAGUAACACGUGGGUAACCUGCCCAAGAGAUCGGGAUAACACCUGGAAACAGAUGCUAAUACCGGAUAAUAACAGAUGAUGCCUAUCAACUGUUUAAAAGAUGGUUCUGCUAUCACUCUUGGAUGGACCUGCGGUGCAUUAGCUAGUUGGUAGGGUAACGGCCUACCAAGGCGAUGAUGCAUAGCCGAGUUGAGAGACUGAUCGGCCACAUUGGGACUGAGACACGGCCCAAACUCCUACGGGAGGCAGCAGUAGGGAAUCUUCCACAAUGGACGCAAGUCUGAUGGAGCAACGCCGCGUGAGUGAAGAAGGGUUUCGGCUCGUAAAGCUCUGUUGUUGGUGAAGAAGGACAGGGGUAGUAACUGACCUUUGUUUGACGGUAAUCAAUUAGAAAGUCACGGCUAACUACGUGCCAGCAGCCGCGGUAAUACGUAGGUGGCAAGCGUUGUCCGGAUUUAUUGGGCGUAAAGCGAGUGCAGGCGGUUCGAUAAGUCUGAUGUGAAAGCCUUCGGCUCAACCGGAGAAUUGCAUCAGAAACUGUCGAGCUUGAGUACAGAAGAGGAGAGUGGAACUCCAUGUGUAGCGGUGAAAUGCGUAGAUAUAUGGAAGAACACCGGUGGCGAAGGCGGCUCUCUGGUCUGUUGCUGACGCUGAGGCUCGAAAGCAUGGGUAGCGAACAGGAUUAGAUACCCUGGUAGUCCAUGCCGUANACGAUGAGUGCUAAGUGUUGGGAGGUUUCCGCCUCUCAGUGCUGCAGCUAACGCAUUAAGCACUCCGCC
rnacentral:rRNA from 1 species